AGACCCUAUUAUCUUGAACCCUUGCUUUUACUAGUUUGAGAGACCAACAUCUGUAUAUAUAAAGCAGUCUGGUCAUGUUAAAUAAAACACCUCCAACACUAUAAGCAUCAAUUUCUUGGUUGUUUUUACAUUUCUUGAUUCGUGGAACCAUGAUAAAGUUUUUUACAAUCGCUUUUGUUCUUGUUCUGCUGGCCUCCAUAACUCACAUGGAGGUUCAAGCUGGAGCUAAUGGAGAAAAACCGCUUGUUAUCAGUCGUAUGUUGGGUGGACGGGCAUCAGAUGUUGUUGUUUAUCCAUGCACGAGCAAAUGUGAAAUAGGCUGUUGUGACUGCAACAUAAGGAAGAUUCCCCCAGUCUGCGAGAAGUGUUGUGGUGACGAGUGAAGAUUUGAUGGAUUCGCAAGUUAGAAGGAGUCAUUAAUGAUUCUUUUGAUAAUCUCCUCUUUACUUUUAGCAUGAGAUAAUUUAUGUGUAAAAGAUCUAUUAAAGACCUUUGUUUCUUGUCUAAUACAUGAUGUUUUUUCACA